GUGGGGAAUCUUGCGCAAUGGGCGAAAGCCUGACGCAGCCAUGCCGCGUGAAUGAUGAAGGUCUUAGGAUUGUAAAAUUCUUUCACCGUGGACGAUAAUGACGGUACCCGGAGAAGAAGCCCCGGCUAACUUCGUGCCAGCAGCCGCGGUAAUACGAAGGGGGCUAGCGUUGCUCGGAAUUACUGGGCGUAAAGGGCGCGUAGGCGGACAGUUUAGUCAGAGGUGAAAGCCCAGGGCUCAACCUUGGAAUUGCCUUUGAUACUGGCUGUCUUGAGUACGGGAGAGGUGAGUGGAACUCCGAGUGUAGAGGUGAAAUUCGUAGAUAUUCGGAAGAACACCAGUGGCGAAGGCGACUCACUGGCCCGUUACUGACGCUGAGGCGCGAAAGCGUGGGGAGCAAACAGGAUUAGAAACCCGUGUAGUCC
rnacentral:rRNA from 1 species